GAGGGUAUAGCUCAGUGGUAGAGCGUGUGCUUAGUAUGCGCAAGAUCCUGGGUUCAAACCCCUGUAUCUACA
rnacentral:tRNA from 1 species